ensembl:lncRNA
GCUGCUGCUGGCUAAGGAUAACGGGCCAAACCCCACCCAGCAUCAGGCGGUUAGAAACAGGACCUCUGCUGAGCUCCUCAGAGAAAGGAAAAAGGCCUCCAGGACUCUUGGAGGGAGCCCCGGGCUCAGCACCUGACCCUGCCGGAGCGGUUCCCGAAGGAGGCCUGGGAGCCCCGACGCAGAUUCUGUCGCUUUUCCCAUCGUCGCUCAGUCAUCGGCUUUGGCUCCUGAGUAUAGAAAGAGUUCCAGGCUAUCAGGCAGCAGGAUAAGCGGAAAACCACGGAACUGAUGGAGAGAGAUAAUUUUGCCCGAGGGCAGCCUAACCUAAAAGCCUACCCCUAUGAGUCAGCUGUCCGCAGAGUUCCUGCUUUUCUGGGCUUCAGCUUCCCCGCUCCUCUCUUCGGAUUUCACAAGGGCUGGAAUUUUUAAAUUCAUUCCUGCCGAGGGACGGCAGCGGGCCCCUCCGAAGUCCUUUGUUCCCACCAGGGUCGGGUCUCUA